rnacentral:rRNA from 1 species
GAUGAACGCUGGCGGCGUGCCUAAUACAUGCAAGUCGAGCGAAUGGAUUAAGAGCUUGCUCUUAUGAAGUUAGCGGCGGACGGGUGAGUAACACGUGGGUAACCUGCCCAUAAGACUGGGAUAACUCCGGGAAACCGGGGCUAAUACCGGAUAACAUUUUGAACCGCAUGGUUCGAAAUUGAAAGGCGGCUUCGGCUGUCACUUAUGGAUGGACCCGCGUCGCAUUAGCUAGUUGGUGAGGUAACGGCUCACCAAGGCAACGAUGGGUAGCCGACCGAGGAGGGUGAUGGGCCACACUGGGAGUGAGCCACGGCCCAGACUCCUACGGGAGGCAGCAGUAGGGAAUCUUCCGCAAUGGACGAAAGUCUGACGGAGCAACGCCUCGUGAGUGAUGAAGGCUUUCGGGUCGUAAAACUCUGUUGUUAGGGAAGAACAAGUGCUAGUUGAAUAAGCUGGCACCUUGACGGUACCUAACCAGAAAGCCACGGCUAACUACGUGCCAGCAGCCGCAGUAA